rnacentral:rRNA from 1 species
GUUCAUAACCCUUUGUUGUCCGACUCUGUUGCCUCCGGGGCGACCCUGCCUUCGGGCGGGGGCUCCGGGUGGACACUUCAAACUCUUGCGUAACUUUGCAGUCUGAGUAAACUUAAUUAAUAAAUUAAAACUUUUAACAACGGAUCUCUUGGUUCUGGCAUCGAUGAAGAACGCAGCGAAAUGCGAUAAGUAAUGUGAAUUGCAGAAUUCAGUGAAUCAUCGAAUCUUUGAACGCACAUUGCGCCCCCUGGUAUUCCGGGGGGCAUGCCUGUUCGAGCGUCAUUUCACCACUCAAGCCUCGCUUGGUAUUGGGCAUCGCGGUCCGCCGCGUGCCUCAAAUCGACCGGCUGGGUCUUCUGUCCCCUAAGCGUUGUGGAAACUAUUCGCUAAAGGGUGUUCGGGAGGCUACGCCGUAAAACAACCCCAUUUCUAAGGUUGACCUCGGAUCAGGUAGGGAUACCCGCUGAACUUAAGCAUAUCAAUAAGCGGAGGA